rnacentral:rRNA from 1 species
GUGGGGAAUAUUGGACAAUGGGCGAAAGCCUGAUCCAGCCAUGCCGCGUGUGUGAAGAAGGUCUUCGGAUUGUAAAGCACUUUAAGUUGGGAGGAAGGGCAGUAAGUUAAUACCUUGCUGUUUUGACGUUACCAACAGAAUAAGCACCGGCUAACUUCGUGCCAGCAGCCGCGGUAACACGAAGGGUGCAAGCGUUAAUCGGAAUUACUGGGCGUAAAGCGCGCGUAGGUGGUUUUGUAAGUUGGAGGUGAAAUCCCCGGGCUCAACCUGGGAACUGCCUCCAAAACUGCAUGACUAGAGUACGGUAGAGGGUAGUGGAAUUUCCUGUGUAGCGGUGAAAUGCGUAGAUAUAGGAAGGAACACCAGUGGCGAAGGCGACUACCUGGACUGAUACUGACACUGAGGUGCGAAAGCGUGGGGAGCAAACAGGAUUAGAUACCCGAGUAGUCC